GGAAGGGUCGCAUAGCCUGGCCUAGUGCGCGCGACUGGAAAUCGCGUAGGCGGUCAUACCGUCUCGAGGGUUCGAAUCCCUCCCCUUCCGCCA
rnacentral:tRNA from 1 species